GGCUCAGUGGUGCAGUGGUUAACACCUGUUCCCUAGACAGGUGCGGGUUCGAAUCCCGCCUGAGUCA
rnacentral:tRNA from 1 species